rnacentral:rRNA from 1 species
CAGUCGCCGCGGUAAUACGAAGGGUGCAAGCGUUAAUCGGAAUUACUGGGCGUAAAGCGUGCGUAGGCGGUGAGUUAAGUCUGCUGUGAAAUCCCCGGGCUCAACCUGGGAAUGGCAGUGGAUACUGGCUCGCUAGAGUGUGUCAGAGGAUGGUGGAAUUCCCGGUGUAGCGGUGAAAUGCGUAGAGAUGUGGAGGAACACCGAUGGCGAAGGCAGCCCCCUGGGCCAAUACUGACGCUCAUGCACGAAAGCGUGGGGAGCAAACAGGAUUAGAUACCCCCGUAGUCCCUGUCUCUUAUAC